rnacentral:rRNA from 1 species
UUAAAUUGAAGAGUUUGAUCAUGGCUCAGAUUGAACGCUGGCGGCAGGCCUAACACAUGCAAGUCGAACGGUAGCACAGAGAGCUUGCUCUCGGGUGACGAGUGGCGGACGGGUGAGUAAUGUCUGGGAAACUGCCUGAUGGAGGGGGAUAACUACUGGAAACGGUAGCUAAUACCGCAUAACGUCGCAAGACCAAAGAG